rnacentral:lncRNA from 1 species
GGUCUGUCCAGUGACCAGGUCUGUCCUGUCUCCAGUGACCAGGUCUGUCCUGUGACCAGGUCUGUCCAGUGACCAGGUCUGUCCUGUCUCCAGUGACCAGGUCUGUCCUGUGACCAGGUCUGCCCUGUCUCCUGUGACCAGGUCUGUCCUGUGACCAGGUCUGUCCUGUGACCAGGUCUGUCCAGUGACCGGGUCUGUCCAGUGACCAGGUCUGUCCUGUGACCAGGUCUGUCCAGUGACCAGGUCUGUCCUGUCUCCAGUGACCAGGUCUGUCCUGUCUCCAGUGACUAGGUCUGUCCUGUGACCAGGUCUGUCCAGUGACCAGGUCUGUCCUGUCUCCAGUGACCAGGUCUGUCCUGUGACCAGGUCUGUCCAGUGACCAGGUCUGUCCUGUCUCCAGUGACCAGGUCUGUCCUGUGACCAGGUCUGUCCUGUGACCAGGUCUGUCCAGUGACCAGGUCUGUCCUGUCUCCUGUGACCAGGUCUGUCCAGUGACCAGGUCUGUCCUGUGACCAGGUCUGUCCAGUGACCAGGUCUGUCCUGUCUCCUGUGACCAGGUCUGUCCAGUGACCAGGUCUGUCCUGUGACCAGGUCUGUCCUGUGACCAGGUCUGCCCUGUCUCCUGUGACCAGUUCUGUCCUGUGACCAGGUCUGUCCUAUGACCAGGUCUGUCCUGUGACCAGGUCUGUCCAGUGACCGGGUCUGUCCAGUGACCAGGUCUGUCCUGUGACCAGGUCUGUCCAGUGACCAGGUCUGUCCUGUCUCCAGUGACCAGGUCUGUCCUGUCUCCAGUGACUAGGUCUGUCCUGUGACCAGGUCUGUCCAGUGACCAGGUCUGUCCUGUCUCCAGUGACCAGGUCUGUCCUGUGACCAGGUCUGUCCAGUGACCAGGUCUGUCCUGUCUCCAGUGACCAGGUCUGUCCUGUGACCAGGUCUGUCCUGUGACCAGGUCUGUCCAGUGACCAGGUCUGUCCAGUGACCGGGUCUGUCCUGUGACCGGGUCUGUCCUGUGACCAGGUCUGUCCUGUCUCCUGUGACCAGGUCUGUCCUGUGACCAGGUCUGUCCUGUGACCAGGUCUGUCCUGUCUCCUGUGACCAGUUUUGUCCAGUGACCAGGUCUGUCCAGUGAACAGGUCUGUCCUGUGACCAGGUCUGUCCUGUGACCGGGUCUGUCCUGUGACCGGGUCUGUCCUGUGACCAGGUCUGUCCAGUGACCAGGUCUGCCCUGUCUCCUG